CCCGGAGGAUUCAGCUGACUGGGGUGUAGUGUACGCAUGCCUGGUGCGUCAAGGCCGGAAUAAGAUGUGAUGGUCCACUCCUCUUCUGGGAGUGGGGUGCGAUCGGUGUGCACUCGUGUGUGCCGGUCGUCGCUAUGUAUGCCGGACGGGUGCCGGUACAUGCCAUUCGUCUGUUGGGCCACCUAGUCAGUGCAUUUUCUCCGUGGUGAACACCACGACCGGUGGAACUGCCAGUCUGCUGUGGUCAAGUUGUGUUCUCCUAGCGCUUCAUUGUGUUGGGUGAAUACGAUCGCAGGUAGAGUCGGUGGACGGCGCAGUGGUGCUUCGGUACUGCCGCGUGUUAUCGUACACUCUCUAUCGGUAGCAGCUAGUAGGGUUGACCAAGUGCUGUGACUACUUCCCUGCUAGCUGGCGGAUCACAGUGGUGAAAGGGACUGUGCAGGGCACCGGAGUUAUCCACCUCAUUAAAUAUGGUACCCGGCACGCACGUUACAGGUGCUAUGCAAUCGGGCUGCGCCGCUGCCUGUCUGGUGUUGGGCCUGACUGUCGUGUUGCCUGCGCAAAGUGGGUCCGGCAGUGGUUUCGAUGCUUGGCAGUUGCAGUGUGUUGCGUAUCUCGGGUGUUUGUGGUACCGGGGGUGAAAUAGUCAGUGGUGCUGUGGUAGACGAGCUACCCGACCCGUCUUGAAACACGGA
rnacentral:rRNA from 1 species